rnacentral:rRNA from 1 species
GGGCGGGAACUCAAAGGAGACUGCCAGUGAUAAACUGGAGGAAGGUGGGGAUGACGUCAAGUCAUCAUGGCCCUUACGAGUAGGGCUACACACGUGCUACAAUGGCGCAUACAAAGAGAAGCGACCUCGCGAGAGCAAGCGGACCUCAUAAAGUGCGUCGUAGUCCGGAUUGGAGUCUGCAACUCGACUCCAUGAAGUCGGAAUCGCUAGUAAUCGUAGAUCAGAAUGCUACGGUGAAUACGUUCCCGGGCCUUGUACACACCGCCCGUCACACCAUGGGAGUGGGUUGCAAAAGAAGUAGGUAGCUUAACCUUCGGGAGGGCGCUUACCACUUUGUGAUUCAUGACUGGGGUGAAGUCGUAACAAGGUAACCGUAGGGGAACCUGCGGUUGGAUCACCUCCUUACCUUAAAGAA